UCCCCUCCCCCACGCUGUCCUGGCCUCACGUCCCAAGAUUCCAGCCCACCCCUCUAUUUAUCUCUGAGCUCCCUUCCCCCUACUCAGUUUUGAAGAAGGCACCUGACUCGAAAUAUCAACUUUUCACAUUGUGUUGUCUCUGACUGACUUAUAACCCCACUGCGAAGCAUCUUCCGAGGAUGCCCACCUUGAAGAAGCUGACCUUCCCUCCAACUCAGGAAAGACCUCAGUGGAUCUUUCUCCCACUGGUAAUCUCUGUCCUGAAACUCUUAACCUGCAUCCACCUAUCACUAGCCCACCUAACUUCUCCUAGCCCCACCCUUCCUCCCACUAUUUAUUUCCAUGCUCCUUUCCCUUUCUAAUAUAUGUCAGCAACGACAAAGAGCAAUGUAAAGACAAGGGAAACAUUCAGAACCAAGGCCUGAAGACUAUGGAUGGAAUAUCUGAAUUCUAAUCCUGCAAGGAGCUGGGUGAGUGCAAUGUCAUCCCCAAGCUAGGGAGACCAACAGUGCCAGGAUAAGUUACUAUUUGGAAUUGGGUGCAUCAGCAUAAGUGGCAGCAAGCAAAUCACAUGAAAUGCAAAGGCAACUGGAGAAACAAUUAAGGACUCUACUUUCAAAGUGAGUAAAUGGGUGAAAAGGAAGACCAGGAACAGAAUUUAUCGAACAACCCCAAGAAAGAAACCAAUGAACAACAUUCCACUUCAAAUGACUUUUAACAACCCAAGUGAACCCAACAUAAAUUAGACAAAUUAACAAGCAGAUUUGCAGACAGAAAAACAAAAGAACAGCAGAUGCUGGAAACCAGAAACAAAACCAGAAAUGCUGGGAAAACUGGCAGUUCUGAAGAAAGAUCACUGGACCCAAAAUGUUAAUUCUGCUUUCUCUGAACUGAUGCUGCCAGAUUUUCUGUAUCUUAGAAAUUAUGUACCAAAUGAUAGAUACAAUAAAAUUGAAUCUCGUGGA